rnacentral:tRNA from 1 species
CGGCGAGUAGCGCAGCUUGGUAGCGCAACUGGUUUGGGACGGGACCAGUGGGUCGGAGGUUCGAAUCCUCUCUCGCCGA